rnacentral:rRNA from 1 species
GAUGAACGCUAGCGGCAGGCUUAACACAUGCAAGUCGAGGGGUAACAGGGUAGCAAUACCGCUGACGACCGGCAAACGGGUGCGGAACACGUACAGAAUCUACCCUUAUCUGGGGCAUAGCCCGGAGAAAUCCGGAUUAACUCCCCAUAAUAUAGAGGUGUGGCAUCACACUUUUAUUAAAAAUUUAUUGGAUAAGGAUGACUGUGCGUCCCAUUAGCUAGUUGGUAGGGUAACGGCCUACCAAGGCGACGAUGGGUAGCUGGUGUGAGAGCACGACCAGCCACACGGGCACUGAGACACGGGCCCGACUCCUACGGGAGGCAGCAGUGAGGAAUAUUGGUCAAUGGACGCAAGUCUGAACCAGCCAUGCCGCGUGAAGGAUGAAGGCCUUCUGGGUUGUAAACUUCUUUUAUUGGGGAAGAAAAUUACGGUUUCUACUGUAACCGACGGUACCCAAGGAAUCAGCACCGGCUAACUCCGUGCCAGCAGCCGCCGUAACAC